rnacentral:rRNA from 1 species
GAUGAACGCUAGCUACAGGCUUAACACAUGCAAGUCGAGGGGCAGCGGGGGUCUAGCUUGCUAGAUUUGCCGGCGACCGGCGCACGGGUGAGUAACACGUAUCCAACCUGGCCCAUACUCGGGUAUAGCCUCUCGAAAGGGAGAUUAAUCCCCGAUGUUGUUGCGAUUCCGCAUGGUGUUGCAACCAAAGAAUUUCGGUAUGGGAUGGGGAUGCGUUCCAUUAGCUUGUUGGAGGGGUAACGGCCCACCAAGGCGACGAUGGAUAGGGGUUCUGAGAGGAAGGUCCCCCACACUGGAACUGAGACACGGUCCAGACUCCUACGGGAGGCAGCAGUGAGGAAUAUUGGUCAAUGGGCGAGAGCCUGAACCAGCCAAGUAGCGUGAAGGAAGACUGCCCUACGGGUUGUAAAACUUCUUUUGUUUGGGAAUAAAGUGCGUCACGUGUGGCGUUUUGUAUGUACCAUUCGAAUAAGCAUCGGCUAAUUCCGUGCCAGCAGCC